rnacentral:rRNA from 1 species
AUGGACGGCUACGGGGUCCCUGCUUCGGGACCUAGCACGCUCCGACAGAUUGAUGACGUUCCAUCUGAAUCAGAAGACGAAGAGGGGAUUGGUUUUCCUGCAGGAGGCGCGGUCGCCGAGUCUGAUUCGGACAAGGAAGAUCAGAUCCAGGUCAAUGGAAAAGCACCCUCAAUCGGGUCAAGGUGCAGCGUGAAGAAGUUGCACGACCUGAUUUCCUCAUUUGAUGAGGAGAAACGACAGUAUGUAGCCGAGAUGGAGUUUGGGGGGCUGCUAGAGCUACCAAAGAUAACAAGGACGGAUAGGCAUUUCUUGAUGUCUAUCCUAAGCCACAUCGAUGGGGAGGCAAGUUCAAUUACAAUUGAUCACAAACGCGACAUGCAAUUUUUCGAUGAAGAUGUCAAACUGGUCAUCGGCAUACCAUGUGGAACUGCUCCUGUUCGCCCUCCAGACCACGCUGUUCCGGAGGCAGUGGUGACACAGAUAAGAGAGAUGUUUGGAAUUGGUCCAGGAGAGCACAGCAUACUGCCAAUCGUUGAAGCUGUGAAGCAGACAUACGGGCGUCCUAUGACGACACACGAGAAGAACAGGUUCAAAGUGGGGCUGGUCAUAUGCGCAUGCACAUACCUCCUCGCUCCAACAAUGAAGAACGACUACUUCUGUACUGAUUAUUGGGGCGCGCUGGCAACGGCAGAGCUCAUACAUAUGCACAACUGGUGCCGAUAUACAAGGGAAGAGCUGUUAGUUGCGGCGAAGAGGGUGAAGGCAGACCUUCUAGGAGGGCGUCUGAAGUCUAAUCUAUCAGGUUGCCUCCCAUUUGUACUGGUGUUCUAUAUUGACAAUCUUGACGUUGGAGAGCAGAACAUCGACCACACCGCGCGCCCAAGAGUGAAGGCGUACAGCUACGCAGCUAUCAGAUCAAUAAUUGAAAAGGACAUCAAGUCGCGCAAGGGAGAUUACCCAGUCAUCUAUGGCAGACUCCUGCCAAGACCAGCAGCAGAUGUCUGUUAUCACAGAAACCCUAUAACAAGGCAACGGGCAGCAAGCACAUCAGCCGGUCGUGACUCUCGAAGCUCUGUUCCAUCAAAUCGUGGUUCGUUAGACAUUAAGGAGGCUUCUUACCUCGUCUUAGACAAAAUAUCAAAGUUCACAGCCCGUUGUGAGGAGGUUCUAAUUUCCACUGCAAGGAAGAAAGAAGAGGAGAACCACCGUCAUUUCAGUGCACUAAAUACCUUGGAAAACUCUGCCCAACAAAAAAUAAAGAAGGAGGCCAAAAGAAUGAGGGAUGAAUUCUUUUCGUUCUUCAAAAACUUCGAGAGGCAACAUGCUGCGAUAAGGAUGCGAAGGGGUGCAUCAGGUGUCGAUGUUGAUUCUGGUAAUUGCCGCAACGCAUCCCCAAUACCAGAUCUCGCUGUGUCAACGCCUUGCAAUGCCAAACCAACACCUCCAGCGAGCGGCGGGUGUCAGGGCAACACAAACUCAUCACCGGACGUUGUCGAGGUGACUCCUAGGCGGUUCAAAAGGAUAGCAAAGAAACCGAAGAAGGUAACAUUUGAGUGCGGGCCAUCAGGCGUCAUGGACAUCACAGACAGCGAAGAUAAUGUGAAUGAUUGUUUAUCACACCCUACAGCAAUACGUUCAACUUCUGCCCUGGAAGAUGGCAACCCGGAAGACAGCUCGCCUGUCGUCAACAUCGCACUAGACAGCUUGAUAAGAGAAGCAGAGAGGUACAGCAGGUCAGGCAAGCAGAUUGUUGACGGUUCCACUGCAACCAGGGAUUCCAUCCUGGAACUUGCAAGUAGAGGUCAAUCAUCUGGCGCAAAAGAUGUCAAGGAUGGUGCAGCAACAUACUCUGUUUGUUGUGCUCAAGACCCCAACUUCGACAACAGGCGUCAAUGGAACUACCCGUCUGGACACCCACUUAUCGAGGAGACGCCGUCAUUUGACCUGGGCGUCUUCACACCUCCUUGCAAUAAAGCAAAAGAACCUACCUCGUUGAGCAUUGGUUCCAUAAAGGGCAUCACGCGGAAAGACCUGUUCGGCGCUGGUGAAUUCUCCACUAAAACUCCUGGGUCUGCAGACCAGGUGACACCAUCAACCCCCUUUCACAUAGGGAGCGCAACUAUACAUCCCACACAAGAACACCGUGUGGUGGCACACGUGUCACCGAUGGGGGAUGAGAUCGACCAAUCUAGGAUGAUUCUUUUUUAUGAAGUAUUGGGAUUAGCCAGCAAUAUCGGGCAGCUCCCAACAAAAUUCAAGAUUUGCCAGAAUGUUUGCUGA